rfam:Clostridium asparagiforme DSM 15981 genomic scaffold Scfld6, whole genome shotgun sequence.
CAAUCUCUUUGGGGCAGGUGAAAUUCCUGACCGGUGGUGACAGUCCACGAGCGGCGGCCAAUGGCUGCGGUUGAUCCGGUGAGAUUCCGGAACCGACGGUAUAGUCCGGAUGGGAAAAGAGGAAA